rnacentral:rRNA from 1 species
UAACGCGUGAGUAACCUGCCUUACACAAGGGGAUAGCCUCUGGAAACGGAGAAUAAUACCCUAUGAAACUAUCUUAUCGCAUGAAAAGAUAGUCAAAGUGUCUUAGCGGUGUAAGAUGGACUUGCGUCUGAUUAGCUAGUUGGUGAGAUAACAGCCCACCAAGGCAACGAUCAGUAGCCGGCUUGAGAGAGUGUACGGCCACAUUGGGACUGAGACACGGCCCAG